rnacentral:tRNA from 1 species
AGAAAUAUAGCUUAGUGGUAGAGCUCUCGCCUAACACGCUUGAGGUCCUGGGUUCGAUCCCCAGCACUACAA